AGCUUUGCAUAGUGGCAGUGUCAUAGCCAAUGAGAUUUAUCCGAGGCACGAUUAUUGCUGAUUGAAAACUUUUCCCAAUACCCUACCAUGAUGACUUGAAAUAGAGUGAGCAUUGGCAAUUUUUCACAGUCUCUGCAGAGA